GAUGAACGCUGGCGGCGUGCCUAAUACAUGCAAGUCGAGCGAACAGAUGAGGAGCUUGCUCCUCUGACGUUAGCGGCGGACGGGUGAGUAACACGUGGAUAACCUACCUAUAAGACUGGGAUAACUUCGGGAAACCGGAGCUAAUACCGGAUAAUAUAUUGAACCGCAUGGUUCAAUAGUGAAAGACGGUUUUGCUGUCACUUAUAGAUGGAUCCGCGCCGCAUUAGCUAGUUGGUAAGGUAACGGCUUACCAAGGCAACGAUGCGUAGCCGACCUGAGAGGGUGAUCGGCCACACUGGAACUGAGACACGGUCCAGACUCCUACGGGAGGCAGCAGUAGGGAAUCUUCCGCAAUGGGCGAAAGCCUGACGGAGCAACGCCGCGUGAGUGAUGAAGGUCUUCGGAUCGUAAAACUCUGUUAUUAGGGAAGAACAAAUGUGUAAGUAUGCACGUCUUGACGGUACCUAAUCAGAAAGCCACGGCUAACUACGUG
rnacentral:rRNA from 1 species